rnacentral:rRNA from 1 species
CCCGAAGUAGAAAGAGUUAAUUUAUUUAAGGUUAGUGUAGUAUAACUAUCAUAAAAGUAGGUUAGAGGUGACAUGCCAUUCAAUUUUUAUAUAUCUGGUUCGAUCUAAUAUAAUUGAAUUUAUAUGUAAGUUUUUGUACUUACUUAAAAAUGAGAUGUGGGUAAUCUCUCUAUUUUAAAUUAAACAAGUAGAGUUAAAGGUGGUUUAAUAACUUCCAUUAAGUUUAAUAAAAUUUUAUAAAUUUAAGAAGGAUCUAGCUAAAAAUCUAGUUAUAUAGAUAAAAAUAAAUAUAUUAGUAACAAUUAAAUUUAAUUUAUAGAUAGAUUUUUUAUAAUUUUAAUUUUAGGUAAAUUUAAAAAGAACUCGGCCUUUAAUUUAGUAAAUUUAAAAAGAACUCCGCAAUAUUCAGCUAGUAUGCUUAUCAAAGACAAUUCUCGGAUUAUCUCAAGUAAUCUCUGCCCUAUGAAUAAUUUAAAUGGCCGCAGUAUUUUGACUGUGCAAAGGUAGCAUAAUCACUUGUCUCUUAAUUGGAGGCUGGAAUGAAGGAGGCGACGAAAUUUAAACUUUUGAGUUAUAAUGUGAAAUUGACAUAAAGAUCAAAAGGUCUUUAUUCAUCAAAGGGACGAUAAGACCCUAUAAAACUUUACUAUAAAGCAAAUUAUUUAGUUAAAUUUAAAGAUUUAUAGUUUAGCUGGGGCGGUUUAUAUAAAAACAAUUGAAAAAAUAAUAUAUUUAAUAAAGUUUGAGAACUCUUGUAGGAAAUAAAUAAGUUACUUUAGGGAUAACAGCAUAAUUCUCCCAGAGAGUCCUUAUUGGCGGGGGCGCUUAUGACCUCGAUGUUGAAUUGGGAAGUCUGGUGUAAGCAGAAAUACAUUAAGAUAGUCUGUUCUGAUGUUUGACUCCCACAUGAUUUCAGGUCAGACAGGCGCGAGCCAGGUUGGUUUCUAUCUUUUGAAAGAUUUCGAUUUAAGUUGAUUCAGACCGAAGGCUAGGUUGGUUUCUAUCUUUUGAAAGUUUUAGAUUUAAAUUGUACGAAAGGACCUUUAAGU